UCCAGAAUUGCCCAAUGGGAACCAGGAUCAGGUGUGGGGGGCGGGACCUCGCGGAGAGGGGUGGGGCUCCAGUGUGAGAGGGAGGGUGGGGCAGCCGGAAAAGGGUUGGGUUUGCACGGAGGCGGAGCUUAUUGGCAAAAGCGAUUGGCUUUUUGAGACUUGUCAUGUUUAUUAUCCAGAUGCUUAAAUGCUUCUACAUACCAUUCUUCUGCAAGAUGAUUCAAAAAUUAAUAGAGGUAAAAUCAUGCUGAGGAACUCUCAAACUGAAAAUUUAGCCUCUUCAAAUGAAGGUUAAUUUCCAAGAGAAUGGUGAAGAUCCAGACAAUUCUGAUGAUUUUUCCUGAAGUUUUGACUGAAAGAGGAUCAAAAGGGAGAUUGAGAGUGAAAAAUAAAAGUCUCCAAACUCUUAGGAAAAAAUGGACAAUUAUAUAACCUUGGUUAGAGUUAGGGUUAGAACUGAUUGUAAACCUAAUUAGUGACAAUUAUCAAUAAUGGGUAGUUGCCUCACUUCAGUGAAUACAUUUCUAAGGCUGACAUUAAAUAUUUGCCUCUGCAAUCAACACAAAA